AACGAAGCACUUUGAUCGAUUUCUUCGGAUUGAAAUUUUAGUGACUGAGUGGCGGACGGGUGAGUAACGCGUGGGUAACCUGCCUCACACAGGGGGAUAACAGUUGGAAACGGCUGCUAAUACCGCAUAAGCGCACAGUACCGCAUGGUACAGUGUGAAAAACUCCGGUGGUAUGGGAUGGACCCGCGUCUGAUUAGCCAGUUGGCGGGGUAACGGCCCACCAAAGCGACGAUCAGUAGCCGGCCUGAGAGGGCGACCGGCCACAUUGGGACUGAGACACGGCCCAGACUCCUACGGGAGGCAGCAGUGGGGAAUAUUGCACAAUGGGGGAAACCCUGAUGCAGCGACGCCGCGUGAGUGAGGAAGUAUUUCGGUAUGUAAAGCUCUAUCAGCAGGGAAGAAGAAAUGACGGUACCUGACUAAGAAGCCCCGGCUAACUACGUGCCAGCAGCCGCGGUAAUACGUAGGGGGCAAGCGUUAUCCGGAUUUACUGGGUGUAAAGGGAGCGCAGGCGGCAUGAUAAGUCUGAUGUGAAAACCCAAGGCUCAACCAUGGGACUGCAUUGGAAACUGUCGUGCUGGAGUGUCGGAGAGGUAAGCGGAAUUCCUAGUGUAGCGGUGAAAUGCGUAGAUAUUAGGAGGA
rnacentral:rRNA from 1 species